rnacentral:ncRNA from 2 species
AAUAUUUUGUCCGGGAGCUUGUGGAAGCAAGCUGAGAGUACGACUAGGCCGUCGUAGACCGGUUGAACCUGUUGGAUAAUGCCAGCGUAGGGAGUGGAGAGAUAAGAACG